GACGAACGCUGGCGGCGUGCCUAACACAUGCAAGUCGAACGGAGUAGAGCCCUUCGGGACUUUACUUAGUGGCGAACGGGUGAGUAACGCGUGAGGAACCUGCCUUCCAGUGGGGGACAACAGUUGGAAACGACUGCUAAUACCGCAUGAUGCUUUUGAGGGACAUCCCUUAAAAGCCAAAGCUUUAUGUGCUGGAAGAUGGCCUCGCGUCUGAUUAGCUAGUUGGUGGGGUAACGGCCCACCAAGGCGACGAUCGGUAGCCGGUCUGAGAGGAUGAACGGCCACAUUGGGACUGAGAUACGGCCCAGACUCCUACGGGAGGCAGCAGUGGGGAAUAUUGGGCAAUGGGCGAAAGCCUGACCCAGCAACGCCGCGUGAAGGAAGAAGGCCUUCGGGUUGUAAACUUCUUUUACCAGGGACGAAGGACGUGACGGUACCUGGAGAAAAAGCAACGGCUAACUACGUGCCAGCCGCCGCCGUAA
rnacentral:rRNA from 1 species